AAAGAUGUCCUCCCCUGAUGCCACAUCCUGUUCCAAUGAUCACGCCUUCUCCAGUUCCCUUCACAGCCAAGCUUCUGGAGAGCAGCUUCUGCACAAGCUGUCUUCUAUUCCUCUGUUCCCAUCCAUGUUCCAGUCCAUUCCAGGCUGGCUCCCAUCCUGAUUGCCUCACAGAAGCUGUUCUUUGCAGGUCCCCAGCCAAGUCCUUAUUGCCACCUCCAGCAGCCUCUUUCUGUCCCCACCCCCUUGGACCUGUCAGCAGCAUUCGAGGCAACCGACAGCACUUGCUGAGCUGCUCUCCUGUCGUGGCUGGACACGUGGUGCUGGGCAGGCGUGCCUGGGGAGGUGUGGGCAAGCUGGACUCCGUCUUCUUCAUCCAGUGCCUCUAGUCUUAGGCCUGGGUGUUUGUCUCCUCUCUGUGAAGCUCUAUGCAGAACUGUGCCAGGGCAUCGUGGACAUAGCCAUUUCCAGUGUCUUCCCACCCCCAGAUGUGGAGCAACCUCAGACCCAGCCAGCUGCCUUCAUCAAGCUGUGAUGGAGGGGCGCUCCCUGCUGCCUUGGAAAAAGCACGGGGUCCUGCUCCAGGGAACGGUGAAAUGACUGGAUUGCUCUUUAUCCACCCCACAGCAGGGGAAAGAAAGGCAACUCGCAAAGAUGAGAUGGAAGAAGGCACGUGAGCAGAGGAGGCAGCUCCCAAAGAGAGGGCUGCUCAGGGAGCUUCCCAGGUGGAGCUCUCAGCAAUGCUGUUGAGACUUUUGAAAAUAACUUUGGUAAACAAAGGCAGCUUUGUGAGCAGAGCUCCUUCCCCUCUCCCCGGGAACGGCAGGGCACUGGGACCUCUGGUCGGUGCCUCCCACCCACUGCAGCCCUAGUGCCUUAGCUCCAUGCCCGGCUGCAGCCCCACUGCUCUGGACUAUGGAUUGGACGUCAGAGCAUAUUGGAGGUUGCCUGUGUGUUCCCCGCCCAUCCCUUCAGUAACACUCUGCCACACUAAGCUCUGUACAGGCAUGCACCAACAGUCCUUAGUUUUGUGCUGUGCACUGGCCUUUUGGCGAAGGUGGUUUCCCUCACCACCUUCCUGAUGGUGUUUGGUCAGUCACCUGUCAGGGUUUGUGCGGGUUGGGCCCCAAAACAGCAUAUGCUGCUCUAAGUCUGCUCUCUGCAUGUUUUAGAAACAAAAUGGCAAGUCUGCCCUGAACCUGUAAGCAUCAAAUAAGCAUGAGAGAGAAAAAACAUGAUAUAUUGCUUUACUUAAUAGGUUGAAUAUGGUAGGUCUUUGAAAAUAUGAUGAUUCAAUUUUCUCAAUUUUCUUUGCUUUAACCAAAAUUCUAAAUGCAGUUUUGCUUAGUUCCCUUAUUUUUUUGACUUUUUUUAUAAACGUUUGUAAAAACCUCUUUGAGGAUCAGGAGUCAGUAAAAUUCCACUCCCCAAGUGGCCCUGCCCAAGACAAAGGUUGCUUUCCCCCUUUUUGUUCUUUUUAUGCCCCCAAGCACUUUCUGCAGUAGCUAGAGGGACAGGUUUCCUUCCAGGAAGGAUUCGAGUUCCUGUGCCUGUAGGUAUUAGGAGAGUAUAUAUCCUGCCUGAAUGGGAAAGUCUUCUAAAAUGGGAAAGAAGUGGUUUCAGCUCCACACAGUGUCUUGUAAAUCUCAGCAAAUGUGUACUGUUAGAAGUGGCUUCCACUUACUGGAUUAACUAAUACUUUAUAGGCUUUUCAGGGGACCACAUCACUAGCAGUAGGGAGAACAAGAUGUCAUUUGUGUUCAGUGUAAGCUGAGUAAACAGGCCCUUCCUAGAGUGUCCUGGAAAUCACAGCAACCCAUUGAAAACUGCCCUCCCCAUCAGAAAGUGCUAUGUUCUUUCUUCAUGCCUAUGUGUGCUCCAUUCCUCGUUUCUACUUGUCUCAAGAAAACAUUUCUGCAGUCAGGUGAGACUUUUACAAAAGAGGAGAAAAUCAAUGCCUCCUUGAACAUGAUGAGAUGUGAGAACUUACAAUGAAAAAGGCAAUAAUGGUAGAAAUUAUUUCUUAGGUACAGCAAUAGUUGAUAGGAUAUGAGGGUGUUACCUUGGGGUGAAGUGGAGAAGGUCCCAGGUGAAUUGGCUCUCAUGGAAAUUUGGAAUUACAAAAUAAACGUCCUGGGGGUUACCCAGAGUACAGAUUUAAAAGUUUGCCUGUAGAGCAAAAUAAAACAGUCAGUUGUAGUUGUUAAUCCUUGAGGCCCAACGCAGCCGAUGGGUUGGUGUUUGGAAAAUUCUGAGAAGGGAAUGAGAUCUGAUCGGAUCCUGGGAAGAUGUAUACCCAGUUAGAACGUGUAGGGUUCUGGGUCCCUGGCAAGUCUAGGUGGGCAGGUGACAGGGAAAGCAUGGGCAUUUUUGUAUUGCUGUCACAUGCUAACACAGGUUUGUAAUUAUCUUUUGGACCCAAAUUAUAGAGACAUUCACGAGUUUUCUAGCCCUCACAGUAACAGAGCUAAGAAUUCAGAUGUCAGGAAGUCUGUGAAUCUUGAUGGAUUUUCUGAGAAACCUGACUCAAUGGCAUAUAUAAGAGGGAAGUAAGACUUUUAAGAAAAGAAAAAGUUAUGCCUCAUUCCUCAUGUGGCUUCCAGUAAGUAUCUUAGGCACUUAUUUCCUUUUUUUAAAUAUUUUUUAAAUUUUUAAAAUUUGAUUUUAAAUUUUAAAUAAAUUUAAAUAAAUUUAAAAUAAAAUUUUACAGAGACGUGGUCUCACUAUGUUGCCCAGGCUGGAUUGCAGUGGCUAUUUGCAGUUGUAAUCAUAGCACACUGCAGCCUCGAAUUUCUGGCUUGAGCGAUCCUCCCAUCUCAGCCUCCUGAGUAGCUGAGACUACAGGUGCACACCACCAAGCCUGGCUUUAUGUAUUUAUUUCUGUUCAUGUGGAAUGAUUGGUUCAGAACUGUUCCUUUCCCUACCAUGAUGUCUUUGACACAGAAGGUCAUGCCUGGCUCCCAGUCAGGCUUCAUACUUUUGGUCCAGGUAAGUGCUGCCCGUUGCUGGGGGAGGAGUCAUGGUUUAUUUGAAAAUGUCAGUUGCAAUCAUGGUUCUGUAAUUUGACUGCACAGUAUCAGAGGAGCCUGUUAACCUCUCUGUGCCUUAGUUUCUUAGCCCAUGAAAGAGAUCAUUGCCUGACCCAGGGACUACCUCAAGGGCUUUUGGUGAGGACAAGUGACAGUGGGAAGACACAAGAGCCUUUAGUACCAAGGUUCUCAACACUGACUACAUGCUGGAAUGACUGUGAAGCUUUUAAAAAAUGUUAGUGCCCAUUCUUCCCCUCUCCCGCUGGCCAGUUAAAUCAGAACCUCAGACAGCAAUAUGCCUUGAGAUGCCUUGAACCACGCUUGAGAAGGAAGGACAAACACAUUAUUACCUUGGAAGAAUUGCAUAAGGCUUACGACUUAAAAAAAAAAUUCUUUUUGGAAACACAAGCAUUUCUUUAAGAAUGACCAGAUGUUGCCAUAUGUAUUUAUGGCACAAGCAGGUGUUCUCUAAGCAGUUUCUCUGUUUGCUUGUCAUAGCGGCAUUUGGAAACUCAAACAUGCUUUCAUUUACGUAAAUAGUUUAUGAAGCUUUGACAACAAAUGUAAACAGACAUGAAAUUAUAAAUCUGCUAAAUAUGUAUUAAGGGUAUUAAUUAUUGAGAGAAAGUCCCUUUCCCCAAAACUCAACUCCUAUGGCAAUUAUGAACUCCAUUUUACCAAGAACAUUUAAGUGCCUCGGCAUCUGUAUGAUAUAGUGGAGCAGGUGCUGACAUAGGUACCAGCUGACAUGAUGUGUCACUAGCUCUGUGGGAUGAUUGCCACAUACAUGGAACACCUGGGAGUGCUGGAAAUGUACUGGAAUCAAAGCUACAAAGUGUGUUUUCAUUCACAGUGGAGGCUACAUCAAGCAAGGGGAGGUCCAGCCCUCUUGCAAGUGUGGUGAGAGGCUCUACUAGCAAAGACAUGGGCGCCGGAGUAGGUCCCGUGUAGCUUGUGGGUGCUGUAGAGAAAAUUCAGUGACGUACCUGGCUCUGGUUCUGGACACAAAAUCUGCACUGGAGAGGAAAUGACUGCUGAAAUAAGGCAAUUGUAUGAAUAUUUAAAAUGCCUGGAACACUAAAGUAAAGUAAUGAUAUUUCAAGUGUU
rnacentral:sRNA from 1 species